rnacentral:rRNA from 1 species
CCUACGUGAGGCAGCAGUGAGGAAUAUUGGUCAAUGGGCUUACGCCUGAACCAGCCAAGUCGCGUGAGGGAAGACUGCCCUAUGGGUUGUAAACCUCUUUUGUCAGGGAGCAACGCCGGCUACGUGUAGCCGGACUGAGAGUACCUGAAGAAAAAGCAUCGGCUAACUCCGUGCCAGCAGCCGCGGUAAUACGGAGGAUGCGAGCGUUAUCCGGAUUUAUUGGGUUUAAAGGGUGCGUAGGCGGAAUGCCAAGUCAGCGGUAAAAUCGCGGGGCUCAACCUCGCUCCGCCGUUGAAACUGGCGUUCUUGAGUGGGCGAGAAGUAUGCGGAAGGCGUGGUGUAGCGGUGAAAUGCAUAGAUAUCACGCAGAACUCCGAUUGCGAAGGCAGCAUACCGGCGCCCAACUGACGCUGAAGCACGAAAGCGUGGGUAUCGAACAGGAUUAGAUACCCCGGUAGUC